rnacentral:tRNA from 1 species
GUUCCUGUAGCACAAUGGAUAGCGCGUUGAACUUCUAAUCCAAAGGUCGUGGGUUCGAAUCCCGUCUGAAAUG